UGAAUAACUAGGCACCUGACAUUUAAUAUUUUCUCGGUUCAGACAUGUUAUAACGAAUUGACAUUAGAAAGUAAUCAAGCUUUACAAAAGUCGAGGUCAUUUUUUGAUGAGGGAUACCGAGGUCUUGGUCCUGAGGGUGAAUUGGAGUUUCUGACGUCGCUUCAGGCUCGACCAUAGGCCUCUUUCCACGAUCGGCCGCCGGAGGAUCAACCUAAUCGGCUGCCUCAACCACGGCAGGAGGAUCAACGGAAGGGGCU
rnacentral:lncRNA from 1 species